rnacentral:rRNA from 1 species
UACAGAGGUCUCAAGCGUUGUUCGGAUUCAUUGGGCGUAAAGGGUGCGUAGGUGGCGUCGUAAGUCAGGUGUGAAAUCUCGGGGCUCAACCCCGAAACUGCACUUGAUACUGCGAUGCUCGAGUACUGGAGAGGAGAUUGGAAUUUACGGUGUAGCAGUGAAAUGCGUAGAUAUCGUAAGGAAGACCAGUGACGAAGGCGAAUCUCUGGACAGUUACUGACACUGAGGCACGAAGGCCAGGGGAGCAAACGGG